rnacentral:rRNA from 1 species
AUUGAACGCUGGCGGCAUGCCUUACACAUGCAAGUCGAACGGCAGCACGGGUGCUUGCACCUGGUGGCGAGUGGCGAACGGGUGAGUAAUACAUCGGAACAUGUCCUGUAGUGGGGGAUAGCCCGGCGAAAGCCGGAUUAAUACCGCAUACGAUCUACGGAUGAAAGCGGGGGACCUUCGGGCCUCGCGCUAUAGGGUUGGCAGAUGGCUGAUUAGCUAGUUGGUGGGGUAAAGGCCUACCAAGGCGACGAUCAGUAGCUGGUCUGAGAGGACGACCAGCCACACUGGGACUGAGACACGGCCCAGACUCCUACGGGAGGCAGCAGUGGGGAAUUUUGGACAAUGGGCGAAAGCCUGAUCCAGCAAUGCCGCGUGUGUGAAGAAGACCUUCGGGUUGUAAAGCACUUUUGUCCGGAAAGAAAUCCUUGGCCCUAAUACGGUCGGGGGAUGACGGUACCGGAAGAAUAAGCACCGGCUAACUACGUG